GACGGAGGAUGCAAGUGUUAUCCGGAAUCACUGGGCGCAAAGCGUCUGUAGGUGGUUUAAUAAGUCAACUGUUAAAUCUUGAGGCUCAACCUCAAAAUCGCAGUCGAAACUAUUAGGCUAGAGUAUAGUAGGGGUAAAGGGAAUUUCCAGUGGAGCGGUGAAAUGCGUAGAGAUUGGAAAGAACACCGAUGGCGAAGGCACUUUACUGGGCUAUUACUAACACUCAGAGACGAAAGCUAGGGUAGCAAAUGGG
rnacentral:rRNA from 1 species